GUGCACGGUCAUAGCGAUGGUGUUUACCCGGUCCCAUCCCGAACCCGGAAGUCAAGCCCAUCUGCGUCAGUCCCGGUACUGUGGUGCGAGAGCCCACGGGAAUGGCUGUCACUGUGCCCC
rnacentral:rRNA from 1 species